CAAACGCACCACACUUCCCCCAUCUCUCCAUCCGGCACGGCGGCGGCGGCGGAGCGCAGCAGCGGAGCCGGACCGACAGCAGCCAGAUGGGAUGACGACGAGGACGCACGCAGCACGCGGCGCCGACUGACCUGGAUAUCAACAGGUCGACGUGGAGUUCUUUAGCGAGAGGCGAAGCGCUCCCUCGUCCACCUGCACACCGUGAGUAACUGUCGGCACGUCGGCCUUCUGUCGUCUCCUUGUUUUCUUGUGUCUCCGCGCACUUCAUCGUGUUGUUUCUCUGGUUUAUUUUUAAUUGUUAUGUUAUUCAUUUGAUUUGCCUGAAUGUUAGACCUUUUUUCGCACGUUCCUCCAUGUGUGAAGUCCGUUACGAGUCUGCAUGCGGGUGUGAAAGCGCACGUGCUCCGAGGUGAUCAUCUCCCGCCUCGUCACGUGCACGACUUCAAUUGGUUUGUGUGAUUGUGCGUUCUUUGUUUGAUGCUUCCAGCAGUGCGCGUGUGUGUGCAGCGUACUUUUUCAAGCAUGAUGUGUGUUUGCUAAAUUCGUGCGUCCUUGUGUUUCUCUGCAUGCAUGUGUGUGUGUGUGUGUUUAUAAUCCAAGGCCAUUCAAUAGCACCACAUGGAUCUAUCCCAUAUCCUGGUCGCCAUGGUUACCGGGGCCACUUAUCACAGAGGGUCCUGGCAGAUCAAACAGGUGUGCAUCCUGACGAUGUCUCUCCUCGACUGUUGCUAGGAACCUUUGUUGCACACAAUACACAGGUGUUUGUGGCCGCCAGUGAAAAACCAUUGUCUUAAUGUCCCAGUCUGAACUGAUGUGUGUGUGUGUGUGUACAUGUUGUCCUCGUGGGAGACAGUGUGAUUUAAUUUCUUCUGAAAGAGGAUGUUCUUUGUCAAAAUAAGGGUGGGAAAAAAAGAGUUCAUUUUGUGGGUCAUCACUUGCUACUUUAGACCUGGAGCUGCGGUAGAGUUCAUAAUGGAUUAGGGGUUAAAGUUUAACGUUUUCUCUUUAACAUCAAAGGGGCACUUCAGCAAUUUAGUACCGAAGUUCCAUAAUGUUGGGGGACUUGCAUGAGACAGAUUUAAAAAAUAAUUCAAUGCAUCAGAGGCCGAGGCAUCCUAAUUUUUAGUUCCAAAUAUGAGUGAAGCUUCAAAAAAGUCACAUCCUUCAAUUGCCAGAAUGCAACUCAAUAGCAGAUUACAUUAGACCUGCCCUACUUAGAUACCUCAUCUCUCCGUCAUCGCUACCUCUAUAGCCACUGAAGACAUUCUGCAACUCAAAGCCCCUUCGAAUAUUCAUUGCUAAAUGUGCGAAGUUCAAUUUCAGGGAGAAAACAUCCUUAAAAGAGGUUAACCCUCAAAAACUCUGUUUAACUUCUUCAUCAGUGCGAAACAAUCACUGAGUGUGAUUUGAUCAGAUUUGAUUCUGGAAACAGCAGCAUUGCAACCCCAUAACUGUCACCACCGAGUCAGAUUUAGCUAAAUCUUGUUUGGUGCGUAGAAAUGCACGACAUCGUCUUUUCUUUUUUUCCAGCCGAGCUCCUUGGCUCCAAACUCGAUCUAACUUUUGUGGUCCUGUAAGACGUCAGAAACUCAUUGUAGGUUUUCAGAGCGUUGAACAGUUACUGUUAUUUAUUUACUUUAGGACUGAGACAUGAGGUAAAUGGUUGGCCACAACUUUAAAUUUAAAUUGUCAAAAUUGAGACGCUGGAGAUUCAGUCCAAUGACUCAGGAAGUAUAAAAUCCAAAUUUAGGAGUGACGUUCAAACUGUCUCCUGAACAGCAAUAAGCUUUUGGUCCAGUGAAGGACGGAAUCACCUACGAAGAGCUUCAGCCCCCCCCCCUCCCCCCCCCCAAGAAGAUUUGGGUGUAGGGUCAGCGAAAUUAUGUAGUAAACAGGAAGAGUGAAGGGGGGGUGGAGAAAAGGGUGUGGAAUGAAAUUAAAUGAUCCUUGAUACCCGGCCAGAGAGCUAGAAAUCAAAUUGCAAACCUGUGAGGGCUUUUAUUUUAUUUUUCUCGACUUGCACUCUCCACUCCACUCCUCCCUCCCGGCCUCCACACAAAAGCGCCUGCCCUCCUAUUCACCCUCCUGUCCGUCUCUCCAUCCUCCAGCUCCCGCUUUAAACCCGCGAGGCAUCACACUGUCCUUAAAGU